rnacentral:rRNA from 1 species
UACGUAGGUGGCAAGCGUUGUCCGGAUUUAUUGGGUUUAAAGGGUGCGUAGGCGGUUCUGUAAGUCAGUUGUGAAAUACUCUAGCUUAACUAGAGGGGUGCCAAUGAUACUGCAGAACUUGAGUACAGAUGAGGUAGGCGGAAUUGACGGUGUAGCGGUGAAAUGCAUAGAUAUCGUCAAGAACACCGAUAGCGAAGGCAGCUUACUGGGCUGUAACUGACGCUGAUGCACGAAAGUGUGGGGAGCAAACAGG